UACGUAGGGUGCAAGCGUUAAUCGGAAUUACUGGGCGUAAAGCGUGCGCAGGCGGUUAUGUAAGACAGUUGUGAAAUCCCCGGGCUCAACCUGGGAACUGCAUCUGUGACUGCAUAGCUAGAGUACGGUAGAGGGGGAUGGAAUUCCGCGUGUAGCAGUGAAAUGCGUAGAUAUGCGGAGGAACACCGAUGGCGAAGGCAGCCCUCUGGGCUAGCACUGACGCUCAUACACGAAAGCGUGGGGAGCAAACAGG
rnacentral:rRNA from 1 species